rnacentral:rRNA from 1 species
AUUGAACGCUGGCGGAAUGCUUUACACAUGCAAGUCAAACGGCAGCACGGACUCCGGUCUGGUGGCGAGUGGCGAACGGGUGAGUAAUGUAUCGGAACGUGCCCAGUCGUGGGGGAUAACGUAGUGAAAAUUACGCUAAUACCGCAUACGAUCUAUGGAUGAAAGCGGGGGAUCGCAAGACCUCGCGCGAUUGGAGCGGCCGAUAUCAGAUUAGGUAGUUGGUGGGGUAAAGGCCCACCAAGCCAACGAUCUGUAGCUGGUCUAAGAGGACGACCAGCCACACUGGAACUGAGACACGGUCCAGACUCCUACGGAAGGCAGCAGUGGGGAAUUUUGGACAAUGGGCGAAAGCCUGAUCCAGCCAUUCCGCGUGCAGGAUGAAGGCCCUCGGGUUGUAAACUGCUUUUGUACAGAACGAAAAGGUUUCUACUAAUACUAGGAGCUCAUGACGGUACUGUAAGAAUAAGCACCGGCUAACUACGUGCCAGCCGCCGCGGUAA